GUAGAGACGAGAAGCCGUAUUUAAGAACUGCAUGCUGAAACCAGAACAAUAUGGCUGAUGUGAUCCACAGUCUUUUCUCUCUUCACCCUGACUGCUCUGCCUAUAGAAGAAUGAUCCUGAAAAUAACAAUGGGCCUCCUGAGUGUAGGGCAAAACUUGCCAUUAUCAUGGGCUAAGUUACAUCGUGCAUGGCCAGGGGAAGUAUUCCAUGUCUGAUGCUCUUUUGCUGAGCUAUCUGCUGGCCACCAGAAGUCAGCACAGAAAGCAAAUGUCAGCAUCAGAUGCCAGGAAUCUGCCUUUCCCAAGGACGUUUUGGGAAACAAGCCACAGGAACAUCCCCUCCUUCUGGCCAUCUCAGGAGUCAGGGUAAAUAGAGGUUGUUAUUCAAGGCAAG